GCGUGCGGGAAGAAGGCCUUCGGGUUGUAAACCGCUUUUGUCAGGGAAGAAAUAGCGCGAGAUAAUACCUCGCGCUGAUGACGGUACCUGAAGAAUAAGCACCGGCUAACUACGUGCCAGCAGCCGCGGUAAUACGUAGGGUGCAAGCGUUAAUCGGAAUUACUGGGCGUAAAGCGUGCGCAGGCGGUUGUGCAAGACAGAUGUGAAAUCCCCGGGCUUAACCUGGGAACUGCAUUUGUGACUGCACGGCUGGAGUACGGCAGAGGGGGAUGGAAUUCCGCGUGUAGCAGUGAAAUGCGU
rnacentral:rRNA from 1 species